GGCUCUCAGCCAUGGCUUUGACACCAACAAUCUGUUUUAACCUGCUCGUAUUGGACCUUUCUCACUUUCCAGACCCCUUAACACAAACCCGGCUAGCAAAUGCACUGAAGAGCCUCCUUCAAAAUAUAGCUUGACUCUGAUUCGUGGCAAAAAAAAAAAAAAAAAGCUGGAAUAAUCCUGCCAGGUCUUAGAAGCUUUACGAUUAAUUGCAUUGAACUUGAUACACAGAAAACAGCACCUUGAAAAUGAAUCAUUUGCUACUUCAGUAUUUUCUAAUUACCAUCACUCCCUCUCGGGGCAUGUAAUUAAUUUACGGAGUCUAAAAAAAAAAACAGUCAGGAUUACUCACACAGUCUUGAAGAUGCAAUGUCAGCUAUUUAGGACAGAAACAUCCAAGGCCGUGUUAGAACUCAAUUACGACUACAUAUGCGUUAAAGCAGGAACUGGCAGGCCUCUGGACUACAGCAACUAUAGGACUUGGGCUUCUCGUACGCUGGGCUAUAAUUUAUGAAACUGAGCCCCAGAUCCAGCCAAUCACUUAGCUCCUCAUAACAAGUCUGACUGGCUCUGGAAAGCUGAAAGGGCUGCACUAGAACAACAAAGAUGAGAUAUUCCACAUAACACUCAGCUUAUCUGGAAUCACUUUCCCUUGCAAGGCCAGAAAAAAAAUCAUAGCUUUACUGCCCAAGGGAAGCACAACAAAGGACUGGGAAAUGCGACUUCACCUGGAGCAAGAUCUGUUACGCUUCGGCAAGACCAACCUCGCCGGCCUUAAAGGACCCAGGUACCCCUGGGACACAGAGGGCAACCACAGCAGCAAAAACCCAAAGUGCUGCUGCUCAUGAGACUGUGUGAGAACUGAAACUUCUGAGGGAAGCCAGGUUGUUAAAACUGUGAUUCCCUUUACUCAACAAUAACAAGGAUGAUCUAGUCUGAAAGGGAAAGCACGCCCUUAAGGUAAUGUUGGCAUUGAAUCUUCACGCCCAGAAUUUUGUCAUUAAAUCCUCAACACCCAGAGUUCCCUGUUUCUCAUUCCCCAAAUAAAAUUAUGUUAUGAUCUCUUCAAA